CAGUAGCCGCGGUAAUACGUAGGGUGCAAGCGUUAAUCGGAAUUACUGGGCGUAAAGCGUGCGUAGGCGGUUUGUUAAGUCUGUUGUGAAAUCCCCGGGCUUAACCUGGGAACUGCGCUUGUGACUGCACAGCUAGAGUAUGGCAGAGGGGGGUGGAAUUCCACGUGUAGCAGUGAAAUGCGUAGAGAUGUGGAGGAACACCGAUGGCGAAGGCAGCCCCCUGGGCCAAUACUGACGCUCAUGCACGAAAGCGUGGGGAGCAAACAGGAUUAGAUACCCCGGUAGUCCCUGUCUCUUAUAC
rnacentral:rRNA from 1 species